UCGGGAAUAUUGCGCAAUGGAGGAAACUCUGACGCAGUGACGCCGCGUAUAGGAAGAAGGUUUUCGGAUUGUAAACUAUUGUCGUUAGGGAAGAUACAAGACAGUACCUAAGGAGGAAGCUCCGGCUAACUACGUGCCAGCAGCCGCGGUAAUACGUAGGGAGCAAGCGUUAUCCGGAUUUAUUGGGUGUAAAGGGUGCGUAGACGGGAAAGCAAGUUAGUUGUGAAAUCCCUCGGCUUAACUGAGGAACUACAACUAAAACUGUUUUUCUUGAGUGUUGGAGAGGAAAGUGGAAUUCCUAGUGUAGCGGUGAAA
rnacentral:rRNA from 1 species